AUGGUGGGUGUUGGGGAGAUGAUUGUGAGUGCCGUGGUGAAACAAAUCGCUAGCAGGCUAAUUAAAAUCGUUGGGGAUGAGAUUGCUCUGCAUUGGAAGUUUAAAGGUGAGGUGGAUAAAAUGAUGCAGAAAAUGAAAGAUCUGGCGGCUAUGAUGCAUGAUGCUGACAACAAGGUGAGCCAAGGAGGAGAAGUUGGGAAAGAAGUUGGGCGGUGGCUCCUGAAGUUAAAAUCAGUCGCCUACGACCUUGAGGACCUGCUGGACGACUUGGAUACCAAGAAUAACGAAGCAAAGGUGUUCUUUUCCCGGAACAAUCAAGCAUACCAGUGGAUAACCAGACCCCACAAUUUGGAGGAUGUGGGGAAGAGAAUAGUAGAAUUAGUUAACGAGGGCAGGGUGUUCAAGCUGGCUUGUGAAACACCGACUGAAGGGAGCAGAAGCAAAGAAACAUUUGCAGCCAUCAGCGAUGGAGGCAUCACAAGUGGAAUGCAGGGGAGGGGUGCUGAAAAGGACAAGUUAAUCAGUUUGCUAUUGGGAACCGAAUAUAAUGAGCAUAUCUCCAUCAUUCCAGUUGUGGGGCUUGGUGGUAUAGGGAAGACAACAUUGGUCCAGUCAGUAUAUGGAGACAAGAGGGUCAACAUCUUCGACAUCCGAGCCUGGGUUCAUGUGUCUACCAAUUUUGAUUUGCGUAAAAUUGUGAGUUCCAUCCUCAAAAGUAUAAAUACUGGUAUCAACCUUGACAAUUGUACUUUGCAGUCUCUACAUCAGAGUCUUAAAGAUGAACUUACUGGUAAAAAAUAUUUGAUUGUUUUGGAUGAUCUUUGGGAAGAAAAUGUUAGUAAGCUUGAAGGAUUGAAGCAGAUGUUACAAUAUGGCUCGAAUGGUAGCAAGAUUAUAGUAACUACGCGAAACCAACGCGUAGUGCAAAGUGGCCUGCACACUGGUGUUCUUGCAAAUGCAGGGAAAAUUUGUGUCGCGCUUGUGCAUGACCAAAUCAAUUUGGGUAUUUUGUCAAUAGAUGAUUGUUGGGACCUAAUGAAGAUAAGGGCAUUUGGCCCUGGUGAUGACCAAACUACCUUGGAAAAAAUCGGAUAUGCUAUUGCGGGAAAAUGUGGGGGCCUACCGCUCGUGGCAAAUGCUUUUGGGCAAGUAAUGUCGGAGGACAAGUCCAUCAAAGCAUGGCAAGAUAUAAAAGAGAGGAUGGUUGAUUUGGGUCUGAAAGGCAUACAUCAAAAGGAAACAUUGCAAUCCCUCAAGUUGAGCUAUCACUACAUGAAGUCAGAGUUUAAAAUAUGUUUCACUUAUUUGGCAGCUUUCCCCAAGGGCUUCAUUAUAGACACCAACCGGCUGGUCCAGCAAUGGAAUGCUCUUGGAUAUACUUAUCCAGGGUAUGAUGGUCAAAGAUGCCUCAAGUACCUUUUGGGGAUGUCAUUUCUUCAAAUUUCAGAAUCUUCUUCGGUUGGUCCAAGUUCCAUGCACAGUAAAGUUCCUCAGGAGAUCACCAUGCAUGAUUUUGUGCAUGAACUUGUAACAAUAAUUGCUGCUGAGGAAUUCCUUGUUAUGGAUGGUACUGAACCAAAGAAAAUGGACAAACCUAUCCAUUGCCGACAUGCACAGUUGAUUAAAUACAAGAAUCAGUCCCAUGCCUUCAAACAUCUGCCACUCAAGCUUAGAUCCCUCCAUUUUAGGGAUUCUCAAGAGCUGCAACUCCCCAAAAAUGCAUUUUCUAGAUUCAGGUACAUGCGUAUCUUGGAUCUAAGUUCCUCACAAAGAGGUGGAUGUUUAGUAAUGCCACCAUUUUCCAUAGAUGAACUGCAGUUGCUUAGGUACUUUGAUGUGUCGGGCUUGCCAAUUGCAUCACUUCCUAGGUCUCUCCAUACGCUUCAAAAUAUGCAAACUCUGAUUAUGUCCAAUUGCUCACUUGAAACCAUGCCUGACAAUAUAUGUAGCCUCCACAAACUUCGCUAUUUGGACCUGUCUGGUAAUAGCAACCUUAAUAAGCUACCAACAUCUUUGGUUGGCCUUGCAAAACUCGUAUUCCUAAACUUGUCAGGUUGCUCCAUGCUAACCCGACUAUGCGACAAUGUUUCCCUUGAGUCUUUAGAGCAUUUGGACCUAUCAAAUUGCCAUGAGCUAGAAAACCUGCCAAAUAAUUUUGGCGACCUUCAAAAUCUGGUAUUCUUGAAGCUCUCUUCCUGCCACAAAGUUUCAGUGCUACCAGAAUCAUUCUGCCGGCUAAGGAAUCUGAAAGGGCUAGAUCUUUCAGAUUGCCAUGAACUUAAGGAACUCCCCAAUUGUUUUGGCUUGCUUUACAAGCUAGAAUCUUUAAACCUAGCCAGUUGUCCUAAGCUAAAACUGCUGCCAGAUUCAUUCUGUAAGUUGUUUAAGCUAAGGCAUCUCGAUCUUUCAUAUUCCAUAAUGCUCGAAAGGCUCCCUUCCUCGUUUUAUAACCUUAAGCUUCGUUCAUUGGACAUGCAUGACACAUCUCUCACUACCUUUCCAAAUGGCAUCCAGACAAUGACUACUCUUACCCAGUUUCUAUUCACGUCGGCUAAUCAUUGUGUAGCACAUGAGGCUGAUCUCGCUAUUGAGCAUUUAGGUUUGCAAGGACGGUUAAUACACCCUGUACGUGAGGUACACAAUACAGGAUUUAGCAGUAUAGUGGAGCUUUCGCAGUUGACUUGUCCUGAUCUUCAAGUUGAAUGCCUUGAGAAUGUCAUGAGUCCAGAAGAUGCCGAGAGAGCCAAACUGCAUGAUAGAUCGGAUCUUCUGCGACUAAGUCUUCAGUGGGAUCGAGAGAAGGAGACAUCUGCAGUGGAGUGUAAAUUGGUGCUGGAGCAGCUCUUACCUCCUAGGACUCUUGAACAACUUGCUAUACGAGGGUAUCUGAGCAAAGAUUUCCCUAACUGGAUGACCGACAUAGCCUCACACCUCCCCUCUCUCACCUACCUAAAACUUUAUGAUCUGGACAUAUGUGAUCCUCUGCCCCCGUUAGGCCAGCUGCCAAAUUUAAGAAGCCUGUAUAUGGAGAACAUGCCCAAUAUUGAAGAAAUCGGCAAGGAAUUGUAUGGAGAAGGCCACCCAACUUUUAUCAAGUUAAGAGUGAUAAAUUUACAGGGGAUGCAGAAUUUGGUGGAGUGGUUGACAACACAAUCAGGUGCAGAAAACGAAGAGAUUCUUAUCCCCAAUUUGCAUAAACUAGAAAUAGUUGACUGCCCACAGUUGAAGUUCCUGCCAUAUCCCCCAAGAAGUAUGUGUUGGCGCUUGGAUAACAGUAACAGCGAUGAUAUGGUGUCAGAACGAGUAUCCUUGAAGGUUUCGUCUUACAAUCUUCUUUGUAGGAUGUCAAUAAUAAACUGCAAUUUUUCAAGAGACAAGUGGCAUAGUCUUCGGCACUUCAAUACCCUUGAGAUAUUUGAUGUUAUCUCCUGCAGUGGCUUGAGGGCCUUGCCAGAAGUCUUCAAAUCCUUCACCUCCCUCAAGAAGCUAUACUUGAUAUCGAUAAAGGGCCUCGAGACACUGCCAGAAUGGUUGGGGGACCUCACUUUUCUGGAAGUAAUUAUGAUCGCAUCUCCUGGGAAACUAACAUCUUUACCUGAAAGUGUGCAGAAACUCACCGCUCUCAAAGAAUUGAGGCUAUGGAGGUGCAGGAGCCUGGCAAAAUUGCCAGAUGGGAUAGGGUGCUGCACUUCUCUCGAGAGACUUGACAUCAAGGGCUGUCACAAACUGACUUUUUUGCCAGAAAGUGUCAAGAACCUUCCCGCUCUCAAAUCACUCUGGUUGGUGUACUGCAAACGCCUUGCAUUGCCAGAAUGGCUGGGUCAGCUCAUUUGCCUAGAAGAACUUGCAUUCAGUAGUCGUCCCAACUUGACAUCAUCGCUUACAAGCAUGCAGAAGCUUACGGCCUUGAAGACAAUAAGGCUGCAGUGCAGCGACAUGACAGCAUUCCCGAGAUGUCUAGGGCAGCUCAUUUCUCUGCACUUGCUUAUAAUCUGUGAUUCCCCCAACCUGACAUCUUUGCCAGAAAGCAUAUGCAAUCAUGCUGUCUUGAAAUCACUCGCCAUUACAAGUACCUGUCCAAGUCUGAUUGAGUGGUGCAAUGGGAAGGGCAAUCCGAAGAUUAAUGUUCCAUUCGGUAUGACACGGUCAGAACAACUUUUUGGAUCAGAAGAAGAAGAAUGUGAGGAAGAAGAAGAAUACGAAGAAGAAGAAGAAUACGAAGAAGAAGAAGAAGAAGUAGAAGAAGAAGAAGUGGAUAUGCCAUUAGCAACUAACUGGAACAAAAUUUUAGUCAUAUUCAUUCUUUGUUCUAUGAUAUUGUUGUAUUAUCUAUCACCGGAGAUGAAUGUGCCAGCCGGAAGAAGAAGGCGAAUAAAGGCUACAGCUUGGCAUUGGGAUAACUGA
rnacentral:rRNA from 1 species